CCGGGCCUGGUUGCAGUUCUAAUGGGACAUCUGCUGCCGAUCUGCUUCCUCCUCAUCCCUCCUCCUCCUCCUCUACUUAAAUCUACCACCCAUCGCUUCUGAAUCUCCCUAUUUCAAUCUCCCCAGAUCCCCCAUUUUCCUAUUCUGCCUCACUUUAUUGUUUCUGUCGGCUAAAGUUUUGAUUUUCACCGGCAGUUUUCGAUAAAGGGUCGAACUUUUGAAUUCAGCGACGAUGAGGAGGAGGAAGAAGAAGAAAAGAAGAAGAAGAGUAGAUUGGUUGUACUGGUCGAAAUCCUUCAUCCAGAACUCCCUUCCUCAUUCCGAAGAAGAGAAAGUCGGCCAAGCGUAAGAAGACGGCCGUCGCCACUGCCGAUCUUCUUGCUAAAGAUAAUGGUAAUCACGACGGCAGGGCGCCGCCUCUACCUUAGAAGAUCAAGGGGCAUGAUGGCGGAUCUACCGCGUCUUCUUCCUCCGCGUCUUCUUCCCCUCGGGAAGACCAUUGUUCUCGACCUGCCAAAGAGUUCUCAGGUUCUGAACUCGUUGCCUUUGAUGGCUCAACGGAAGGAGCGGUCUUGGCCCAGAACGACGAAGAAAAGGAGUUUUCUAUCGUUGUGAAGGAAGCGACAUUCAGCUCUACCACAGAGUCAUUUCCUAAAUCCAAGGAUUCCAUUGUCGAAGAUACUAAAUAUCAGGAGGAACAUGAGGAAGCUGUUGAUGAAUCUGCUAUGCCUGUUGAAAAGAUUGUUGUUUUGGCUGAAGAGGAGAGGCAAGUUGAUGAGAUUGCUUUGGCUGAAGUCCAAGUGAAAGUAGUGCUGCUUCCGGAUGCAGAUGAGAUGGCUAAACAACUCAAUGAGAGUCAUGGAGACCGCUGCUCUGGUGGCAGAGAUGAGACUCUGCCUACAGCUGAGGUGCUGAAGUUCUAACUUUUAUUGCGCUAAUUCAUCUAAGUCAAUUAGUGUGCUGCUUAGUGAAUGACUUGAUACAUGUAUCUUACUCUGCCUCCUCCGGUCAUCAUCAUUAGUCGUACAUCAUGGUGGAGUUGUUGUGGCUUGCUUGAUGUCUUUGCAGGUUCUUGGUGAUUAAAUGAGGUAAAUGCUUAGUUCGAAGAUCUUCUACCUUCUCAGUAGAAUGUCAACUUUUCAGGUAGAUCUCUGUUUGUUGUGUUGGGGUAAGAAAGUUGUUCAGCUACGGCCAUUUGCUCUUGUCUAGGAUGAACUUAAUAUUGACAAGUGUCCACAAUUAUCAGCUUCUGGUCUGAUUCAAGCCAUUCUCCAUCAGUAGUAUAUGCAUUACAUUUUUGUAGCAAAUAAGUUAGCUGAUGAGUGAGGGCGAAGAUGAAAGCUUAGGAUGUCUGGAUACUAGAACCUAUGACUAAGUUUUAGCACAUUUGUUCCAAUUGAGAGCAAAUAGAUAUGAUAGUUAUGAUGUGGCUUAAGGUUAUUUUGUUCUCGUACUAGUUGGGUAGACAACCAAAUAUAGCAAAAGAAAUAGUUAAUCAACAUAUGUAUGACUUAGGUAUCUUGUAGGAUGGUUGAUUAAAAUGUUUCAUUUAAAGUUCACCGGCUGAAUGAAGCUUGCUGAAAAAACUAACAAAUCUAUUCUGUGUUGACACCCAUUUUGAAGCUACUUCUUGUUUAAUUUAUGUAUCAGUUAUAAUAUGAUUUAUCUUCCUUUUCUGGUUAAAAUUAAGCAAAUUUUCUGUACAGUAAUUGAAGUUAGCUUCAGAAUAUUAUUCUUGCUACUAAACAAGGUAUCCUAGUUUGUGAAAAUAUUAUACAUUAGCAUGUUUGCAAUUGUCAAAAUUCUUAUUCUUUUCAGAUAAGCUGAGAUGCCAUAUUAGCCUAAGAGAUAGUUCAAGGCGAGAUACUAAUAAUGAUUAACAAUUUUUUUAUGAACCAUAUAGAUACUGUAUGAAGGAAAAUACAGGAUAAGUGCUUCAGAUAUAAGACACUGAUUGUACUUAACAAAUUGUAUGGUGCUAACUUUGGAAAAAAUAGUUGUCUGCAAGGGACGAUCCUUCAAAGACAAACUCAAGAAUGAAUCAUAAAGGAUCAUUAGCUUAAUGGUUUUGCCCUUGGUGGACUCUUCAUCUACUCUUUCACACUCUGGGUUGACAAUCAAAAUCUCUAAAUAUCAGUCAAGCAUAACUAUUCCUUUUAAGAUUAUUCUAGAGAAUCUAGUUGUCUUUUAGCAGCUUGGCUGCAUAGUUGUAGCUAAUACAUUGCAUUCUUGGUGAUGCAGAACUUGAUUGCUGGGUUUGAGAUGAGUAUUUGCUAUCAGUCCCUGGGGCUUUAUGCAACUCUUGUUGUAUUUCUUGUUUGGACGGUUUCAUACUCUUAUAUCUCUGCGUUUGUUGUAAUCAAAUUUAUGGUGUAACUUGUUCUAAUUAACCUAUUAGGAUGUGUAUAAUCUUCGAGUUCAUUAAUCUCUCCUUCCAUAACCAUGUUUUGGACUCUGAAAACAAGGCUUAAGAGAGAUUUUGUUAACCAUGUCAUACACAGCUAACAGAACUAGCAGUCAAUUUCAGAAUCAGAUUCUGAAAAGCAAAUGCAGUGAUUUCAAGCGUUUGAAUCCUACGUUAUUGCAUGCAUCGGUGAUGAUCCAAGGCUUCACUGCCAAUAAAGAUUUGCACAAUUAUUCUAGGAAAAGAAACUGCAGUUUCCCAAGCAUCAUUUUAUUCUAACAAGCAGCAAUUCACACUUAGCUAAAGUAACGCAGUCGUGCUCAGAAACAAGCAAGAUCAUCAUAUUAGGAACCAUAAACAUAGGAUUGAAGCUUCAAAUAUGUACCUCACAAGGAGCGUCUCAUCUCAUUUGCCACGGCCUGUGAGCUCCUUGUCCAUGGCCUCGUUAGCUGCUUCCUGGUCCUCAUCAAGGAAGAUAUCCCAAUCCCCGUCCCACUGGGGAUUUGAAGCUAAGACAAGGAUUGACAAUGUUCGUGACAGCUUUAUAAAUCUAUAUAACGAGUAUGUAGACCACUGCUAAUUCUUCAAAACUUCAAGCCUUUUAUGCUGGGAACACUAAUGGCUACAAUGGGAGUGAAUAUGUACAUGGUGGAGACUGCAAGACUUCUCGCAUCACAUUGUCUGAUACACAGCGUGGAUUGGAUCGGUAUCUUAAAGAGACAUCCUCCGGUCAUCCAGCAAGAUCAGAUCUGGAUAUGUACUUGGAAGAGGCUGUGCGUCCCUCAAAAGGUUCCGAAGACAAUUUUGAUAUCCUAGCAUGGUGGAAAUAUAAUGCUGCUAAAUAUCCUGUGCUUUCUAUGAUUGGCCGUGAUAUUAUGGGCAUUCCUAUUUCAGUCGUUCCAUUAGAUAGUGAAGCAAGAACUCUAAAUCAAUAUUGAAGUUCAACAGAUGCAACGAUUAUAGAAUGCUUGAUAUGUUCACGAGAUUGGAUAGGAAAUGAAACAGAAGUGUCUCCCGUGGAUGCUCUUGCAAUUAUUCCUUCCACAGCAUGCUUGGAGAUCAAUGGUGAUGAGUGCAUGCUACCUGCUGGUUGUGACUAGACUUCAUUGUGAAUCUGGUACUUUGCUUUCACCUUUUUCCCCUUCGACAUAUUGUAUCAUUUGCGAAUCUCAUAUUUGGUGAUUAUUGUCUAAUUUGUUAAAAUAUGAGAUUUUUGUAUGAUGUUUUAACUCUCUGUCUUUUGAUAUCUGUCUAUUAUUACUCUUAGGCAAUUUAGCUAAC